rnacentral:rRNA from 1 species
CAGUCGCCGCGGGAACACGUAGGGUGCAAGCGUUAAUCGGAAUUACUGGGCGUAAAGCGUGCGCAGGCGGUUCGUUAAGACAGAUGUGAAAUCCCCGGGCUUAACCUGGGAACUGCAUUUGUGACUGGCGGGCUAGAGUAUGGCAGAGGGGGGUAGAAUUCCACGUGUAGCAGUGAAAUGCGUAGAGAUGUGGAGGAAUACCGAUGGCGAAGGCAGCCCCCUGGGCCAAUACUGACGCUCAUGCACGAAAGCGUGGGGAGCAAACAGGAUUAGAUACCCCCGUAGUCCCUGUCUCUUAUAC